rnacentral:rRNA from 1 species
UUAAGCGACUAAGCGUACACGGUGGAUGCCCUGGCAGUCAGAGGCGAUGAAGGACGUGCUAAUCUGCGAUAAGCGUCGGUAAGGUGAUAUGAACCGUUAUAACCGGCGAUUUCCGAAUGGGGAAACCCAGUGUGUUUCGACACACUAUCAUUAACUGAAUCCAUAGGUUAAUGAGGCGAACCGGGGGAACUGAAACAUCUAAGUACCCCGAGGAAAAGAAAUCAACCGAGAUUCCCCCAGUAGCGGCGAGCGAACGGGGAGCAGCCCAGAGCCUGAAUCAGUGUGUGUGUUAGUGGAAGCGUCUGGAAAGGCGCGCGAUACAGGGUGACAGCCCCGUACACAAAAAUGCACAUGCUGUGAGCUCGAUGAGUAGGGCGGGACACGUGGUAUCCUGUCUGAAUAUGGGGGGACCAUCCUCCAAGGCUAAAUACUCCUGACUGACCGAUAGUGAACCAGUACCGUGAGGGAAAGGCGAAAAGAACCCCGGCGAGGGGAGUGAAAAAGAACCUGAAACCGUGUACGUACAAGCAGUGGGAGCACGCUUAGGCGUGUGACUGCGUACCUUUUGUAUAAUGGGUCAGCGACUUAUAUUCUGUAGCAAGGUUAACCGAAUAGGGGAGCCGAAGGGAAACCGAGUCUUAACUGGGCGUUAAGUUGCAGGGUAUAGACCCGAAACCCGGUGAUCUAGCCAUGGGCAGGUUGAAGGUUGGGUAACACUAACUGGAGGACCGAACCGACUAAUGUUGAAAAAUUAGCGGAUGACUUGUGGCUGGGGGUGAAAGGCCAAUCAAACCGGGAGAUAGCUGGUUCUCCCCGAAAGCUAUUUAGGUAGCGCCUCGUGAAUUCAUCUCCGGGGGUAGAGCACUGUUUCGGCAAGGGGGUCAUCCCGACUUACCAACCCGAUGCAAACUGCGAAUACCGGAGAAUGUUAUCACGGGAGACACACGGCGGGUGCUAACGUCCGUCGUGAAGAGGGAAACAACCCAGACCGCCAGCUAAGGUCCCAAAGUCAUGGUUAAGUGGGAAACGAUGUGGGAAGGCCCAGACAGCCAGGAUGUUGGCUUAGAAGCAGCCAUCAUUUAAAGAAAGCGUAAUAGCUCACUGGUCGAGUCGGCCUGCGCGGAAGAUGUAACGGGGCUAAACCAUGCACCGAAGCUGCGGCAGCGACNGUUGUUGGGUAGGGGAGCGUUCUGUAAGCCUGUGAAGGUGUACUGUGAGGUAUGCUGGAGGUAUCAGAAGUGCGAAUGCUGACAUAAGUAACGAUAAAGCGGGUGAAAAGCCCGCUCGCCGGAAGACCAAGGGUUCCUGUCCAACGUUAAUCGGGGCAGGGUGAGUCGACCCCUAAGGCGAGGCCGAAAGGCGUAGUCGAUGGGAAACAGGUUAAUAUUCCUGUACUUGGUGUUACUGCGAAGGGGGGACGGAGAAGGCUAUGUUGGCCGGGCGACGGUUGUCCCGGUUUAAGCGUGUAGGCUGGUUUUCCAGGCAAAUCCGGAAAAUCAAGGCUGAGGCGUGAUGACGAGGCACUACGGUGCUGAAGCAACAAAUGCCCUGCUUCCAGGAAAAGCCUCUAAGCAUCAGGUAACAUCAAAUCGUACCCCAAACCGACACAGGUGGUCAGGUAGAGAAUACCAAGGCGCUUGAGAGAACUCGGGUGAAGGAACUAGGCAAAAUGGUGCCGUAACUUCGGGAGAAGGCACGCUGAUAUGUAGGUGAAGUCCCUCGCGGAUGGAGCUGAAAUCAGUCGAAGAUACCAGCUGGCUGCAACUGUUUAUUAAAAACACAGCACUGUGCAAACACGAAAGUGGACGUAUACGGUGUGACGCCUGCCCGGUGCCGGAAGGUUAAUUGAUGGGGUUAGCGCAAGCGAAGCUCUUGAUCGAAGCCCCGGUAAACGGCGGCCGUAACUAUAACGGUCCUAAGGUAGCGAAAUUCCUUGUCGGGUAAGUUCCGACCUGCACGAAUGGCGUAAUGAUGGCCAGGCUGUCUCCACCCGAGACUCAGUGAAAUUGAACUCGCUGUGAAGAUGCAGUGUACCCGCGGCAAGACGGAAAGACCCCGUGAACCUUUACUAUAGCUUGACACUGAACAUUGAGCCUUGAUGUGUAGGAUAGGUGGGAGGCUUUGAAGUGUGGACGCCAGUCUGCAUGGAGCCGACCUUGAAAUACCACCCUUUAAUGUUUGAUGUUCUAACGUUGACCCGUAAUCCGGGUUGCGGACAGUGUCUGGUGGGUAGUUUGACUGGGGCGGUCUCCUCCUAAAGAGUAACGGAGGAGCACGAAGGUUGGCUAAUCCUGGUCGGACAUCAGGAGGUUAGUGCAAUGGCAUAAGCCAGCUUGACUGCGAGCGUGACGGCGCGAGCAGGUGCGAAAGCAGGUCAUAGUGAUCCGGUGGUUCUGAAUGGAAGGGCCAUCGCUCAACGGAUAAAAGGUACUCCGGGGAUAACAGGCUGAUACCGCCCAAGAGUUCAUAUCGACGGCGGUGUUUGGCACCUCGAUGUCGGCUCAUCACAUCCUGGGGCUGAAGUAGGUCCCAAGGGUAUGGCUGUUCGCCAUUUAAAGUGGUACGCGAGCUGGGUUUAGAACGUCGUGAGACAGUUCGGUCCCUAUCUGCCGUGGGCGCUGGAGAACUGAGGGGGGCUGCUCCUAGUACGAGAGGACCGGAGUGGACGCAUCACUGGUGUUCGGGUUGUCAUGCCAAUGGCACUGCCCGGUAGCUAAAUGCGGAAGAGAUAAGUGCUGAAAGCAUCUAAGCACGAAACUUGCCCCGAGAUGAGUUCUCCCUGACCCUUUAAGGGUCCUGAAGGAACGUUGAAGACGACGACGUUGAUAGGCCGGGUGUGUAAGCGCAGCGAUGCGUUGAGCUAACCGGUACUAAUGAACCGUGAGGCUUAACCUU